GACGUAGGGCGCGAGCGUUGUCCGGAUUUAUUGGGCGUAAAGAGCUCGUAGGCGGCUUGUCGCGUCGGCUGUGAAAACCCGCGGCUCAACUGUGGGCGGGCAGCUGAUACGGGCAGGCUGGAGUUCGGUAGGGGAGACUGGAAUUCCUGGUGUAGCGGUGAAAUGCGCAGAUAUCAGGAGGAACACCGGUGGCGAAGGCAGCUCGCUGGGACGUGACUGACGCUGAGACGCGAAAGCGUGGGGAGCAAACAGG
rnacentral:rRNA from 1 species